UACGUAGGGUGCAAGCGUUGUCCGGAUUUAUUGGGCGUAAAGAGCUCGUAGGCGGUUCGGUAAGUCGGGUGUGAAACCUCCAGGCUCAACCUGGAGUCGCCACUCGAUACUGCUGUGACUAGAGUCCGGUAGGGGAGCGUGGAAUUCCUGGUGUAGCGGUGGAAUGCGCAGAUAUCAGGAGGAACACCAAUGGCGAAGGCAGAUCUCUGGGCCGUAACUGACGCUGGAGGAGCGAAAGCAUGGGGAGCGAACAGGAUUAGA
rnacentral:rRNA from 1 species